rnacentral:rRNA from 1 species
GAUGAACGCUAGCGGCAGGCUUAACACAUGCAAGUCGAGGGGCAGCAUGAGACGGAGAUUCGUCGAAGUCUUGAUGGCGACCGGCGCAAGGGUGCGUAACGCGUGAGCAACUUGCCCGUUUCUGGGGAAUAACCGGUGGAAACGCCGACUAAUACCCCAUAGCAUAACAGAGAGGCAUCUUUUGUAUUAAAGAAUUUCGGAAACGGAUAGGCUCGCGUGACAUUAGCUAGAUGGCGGGGUAACGGCCCACCAUGGCGACGAUGUCUAGGGGUUCUGAGAGGAAGGUCCCCCACACUGGAACUGAGACACGGUCCAGACUCCUACGGGAGGCAGCAGUGAGGAAUAUUGGUCAAUGGUCUGACGACUGAACCAGCCAUGCCGCGUGAAGGUCACGGCCCUAUGGGUCUUAAACUUCUUUUGUAAGGGAGCAAUAAGGUCUACGUGUAGACUGAUGAGAGUACCUUACGAAUAAGCAUCGGCUAACUCCGUGCCAGCAACCG